UCUGAAAGACGUUAGCUCUUGGAAUGAUCCAAUUGGAGCACUUACAGUUGGAAUCCAAUAGCUAGGUCUAUCUGGUUGGAAGCCCGAGGAAUGCAAAGCUGUUGGAAAUGAACUUUUAUCAUGGAAAAAGAGGGGUAUUUCAGAAAAUGAAGGCAGUGAAGAUGGUAAGACUAUAUGGGCAUUAAGA